UACGUAGGUGGCAAGCGUUGUCCGGAUUUACUGGGCGUAAAGGGCGUGCAGGCGGUCUGUUAAGUGCAGGGUGAAAGCUCCCGGCUCAACUGGGAGAGGUCCUUGCAUACUGGCGGACUUGAGGGGGGUAGAGGAAAGUGGAAUUCCCGGUGUAGUGGUGAUAUGCGUAGAUAUCAGGAGGAACACCGGUGGUGUAGACGGCUUUCUGGACCGUAACUGACGCUGAGACACGAAAGCGUGGGGAGCGAACAGG
rnacentral:rRNA from 1 species